AGGAAGGUUUGAGUGGUGUUUUGGAUUGGUGGUUUUUUCUUCCGCCGAAGCAUGGCUUUCGAUGAGAAGCAGGGUUCUCGAAUUAGGUAGUGGUGGUGGUAUCUGCUUCAGGAGUUGGCGGCGGAGAUCUCUUUCGGUUGCGUUUCUUUUCAAACGGAUUUAAGGUUACAGACUUCUUUUUGGCUAUCGGUGAAUGAUGUUUGUUCGAGCCAAGGAGAAAAGAUAUUGCCUUUAGCAUCUGAUGUAUCUUCGCCAGAUAUUCAGAAGUUUUACCAUCAGUGUGACCCUGGUGACUGUCUCGCCACUCUGAAUCUCACACUAAGGCUUCAAAGAUGUCCCCACCACCAAAAGAAGAAGAUGAGAGUGGAAGAUAUCCCCGAGUUGCAGUACCAGCAAGAAUAUUUUUUGUACUUUAAUAUUUUGUGUAGGUAGAUUGGGAUAAUUAGGGUGAAAUAACAACAAUAACAUGUUAUGUUAGCUCUAGUGAGUUAUAUAGUCUUGUUAUAUACCUCUAUUUGUAUCGUUGGAUAAAUACAAAUUAGAACAUCCUUCGUUGCUAUAUUGUCUUGUUUUGAAAUUUAUAAAAUUAUCAUCUUGCU